AGAGUUUGAUCCUGGCUCAGGAUGAACGCUAGCGGCGUGCUUGAUCCAUGCAAGUCGAACGCACUGGCAAGGCGUGAAAGCCUCGGAAGGGGGCAGCGCGGGGGAAACCCCGUUAAGCCUCUGGAAGAGGGGGAAGCGCAGCGCCGGUGAGUGGCGGACGGGUGAGUAACACGUAGGAAUCUAUCCCAAAGUGGGGAAUAACUGCUCGAAAGGGCAGCUAAUUCCGCAUGUGAUCCGCGAGGAUGAAAGGGGCAACUCGCUUUGGGAGGAGCCUGCGGCCGAUUAGCUAGUUGGUGGGGUAAAGGCCUACCAAGGCGAUGAUCGGUAGCUGGUCUGAGAGGACGAUCAGCCACACUGGAACUGACACACGGUCCAGACUCCUACGGGAGGCAGCAGGAAGGAAUAUUGCCCAAUGGGGGAAACCCUGAGGCAGCAACGCCGCGUGAGCGAUGAAGGCCUUCGGGCCGUAAAGCUCUUUUCUGCGGGAAGAGGAAGGACGGUACCGCAGGAACAAGUCUCGGCUAACUACGUGCCAGCAGCCGCGGUAAAACGUAGGAGGCAAGCGUUAUCCGGAUUCACUGGGCGUAAAGGGCAAGUAGGCGGUAGCCAAAGUUGGGCGUGACAUCCCCUGGCUUAACUGGGGGGGGUCGUUCAAAACUAGGUUACUUGAGGGCAGGAGAGGGAAGCGGAAUUCCUAGUGUAGCGGUGGAAUGCUCAGAUAUUAGGAAGAACACCAGUGGCGAAGGCGGCUUCCUGGCCUGCACCUGACGCUGAGAGGCGAAAGCUAGGGGAGCGAACGGGCUUAGAUACCCCGGUAGUCCUAGCUGUAAACGUUGGAUACUGGGUAUUGGGGGUAUCAACUCCCUCAGUGCCGAAGCUAACGCGUUAAGUAUCCCGCCUGGGGACUACGGCCGCAAGGUUAAAACUCAAAGGAAUUGACGG
rnacentral:rRNA from 1 species